CAUGCUGAGUCUACCGAAGGGAAGCCAGCCAGGUGAAACUGACAUCACUGAUGAAAGAAUAGUUUCAAACAAUUAGAUGCGGUCACUGUAAAACCACAUCGAAACUGUGAACUCAUCACUCUGGAAAACAACUGUUAAGUUAAGUCAGUCGCACUUUGACACUGCAACAAGCUAGCAAGGCUAUUAAAAUAAAAAUAACCGUUAGCUAACUUUUUCCAGUGUUGCUAAUAACCGUUAUUGUGGUUUCAGCUAGGUAGCUUGUUUAGCUAGCAGCAAUGGAGGCUGGAGCGAAAACAGAAUUAUCAUCACAAGCAAACAGGUGCAGUGGACGUGGAUAUGGGCCCUUUCACCUCCAUGACUGAAGGAGAAAAGCCUCCUCAAAUAAUGCUAAGGCAUCCCGUGCAGUUCCUGAUACGUACCUCCGUAUCCUUGCCCGUUGUAAGGAAUACCGACACACUGAGAAGAGUCACAGUAUCCAGGAGGUCCAGGAGGCCCGCGGACUCCGGCGUAUCCUGGACGUCCGGGGGGACCACGAGGUCCGGCAGAGCCUGAAGGGCCUGGAGGUCCUGUCCUGCUCUCUCCUGGUGGACCUGGUGGAAAAAUACAGACUCAUUUAGACUGGACUGCCCCAGCGUUGUAAGGCUGUAGUCGGGGUGCUGGAUUACAGCGGGACUGGAUUGGAUGUGUGAUUAGGAGCUGCUCUAAGGCUCCGGGCAGGAUGACGACAUGAUUUUGUGGUUGUCGUUUGAGCUGAUUUUUGCAGGACGAGCUGCAGCUUCAGAGUUUAGUAGUGAAGUGACAUCCUAAGUGUGUUAGUCUGAGGAUGCUGAUUCUUAAGUUCUAAUAUUGCAGGAUUUGAACCUUUUUAAAAAGGUACGACACAAAAAUGAUGUGGGUGCUAAUUUUACAGGUUUGAGUUCCCUGAAUUAUUCGCCAGCAGUGAACAAACAUGUAGCUCACAUCUCUGGGCCAAUAAUCAAUGUUUGAUAUUAGUGGGCUAAACUUUCUAUAUUAAAUAUUGCUAACCAUUUCCUCUGUUUUAAACUACAACUAUGUUAUGACUAGAGCUGAAACAAUUAAUUAAGCCAUUAGUCGAUAAACAAAACUGUCAUUUAAAAUUGAAUAUCAUUCAUACGUCUGACAGCUUUAGUUACUUUUCAGAUUAAAGUUGUACAUAUAAAAUGAUAUAUUGUUAAGGGUUGAAUUUACCAGUAAUGUAUAUAAAAGUAUCAUAGUUAAAAUGAGCUCCACCUUGACCAGCUACAACAUUAUUAGUAAUGUUAUAGUAAUAAUAAUUGGGUACUUUUACGUGUAACAGAACGUUAAGUAAAAGAUCUUCUUCCACCACAGUUUUUUUUUUUUUUUUGUCACAGACAUCUUUUCACAUUUACUAGACUAAACAAUUAUCACCAGAUUAAUCAUUAGUUGCAGGUUGUAGUGUUUGGUACAGGUUGUUAAUAGGAUCUGAUGUAGAUGAAGUUUCACCCAGUUGCUUGUUCACCCAUAUUUAAACUUUAUAUUAUCCUUUUUUCCUGAGUGAAAUCAAACAUUACAUCAGCUUUUGCACCAGGCGGUGUGACCUGAGCAGGGUAUCAGG